AAAUGAAUAGACGGGGACCCGCACAAGCAGUGGAGUAUGUGGUUUAAUUCGAUGCAACGCGAAGAACCUUACCCAGGCUUGACAUACACAGGACGAUGCUAGAAAUAGUAUUUCCCUUCGGGGUCUGUGAACAGGUGCUGCAUGGCUGUCGUCAGCUCGUGCCGUGAGGUGUUGGGUUAAGUCCCGCAACGAGCGCAACCCUUGUCAUUAGUUGCCAGCACGUAAUGGUGGGAACUCUAAUGAGACUGCCUAGGUUAACUAGGAGGAAGGUGAGGAUGACGUCAAGUCAGCAUGGCCCUUAUGCCUGGGGCUACACACGUACUACAAUGGCCGGUACAGAAGGCAGCGAAACCGUAAGGCGGAGCAAAUCCCCAAAGCCGGCCCCAGUUCAGAUUGUAGUCUGCAACUCGACUACAUGAAGUCGGAAUUGCUAGUAAUGGCGCGUCAGCACCAGCGCCGUGAAUACGUUCCCGGGUCUUGUACACACCGCCCGU
rnacentral:rRNA from 1 species